rnacentral:rRNA from 1 species
CAGCACCUCAAGUGGUCAGGGUGAUUAUUGGGCCUAAAGCAUCCGUAGCCGGCGCUGUAAGUUUUCGGUUAAAUCUGUACGCUCAACGUACAGGCUGCCGGGAAUACUGCAGCGCUAGGGAGUGGGAGAGGUAGACGGUACUCGGUAGGAAGGGGUAAAAUCCUUUGAUCUAUUGAUGACCACCUGUGGCGAAGGCGGUCUACCAGAACACGUCCGACGGUGAGGGAUGAAAGCUGGGGGAGCAAACCGGAUUAGAGACCCGAGUAGUCC